rnacentral:rRNA from 1 species
UACAGAGGGUGCAAGCGUUAAUCGGAAUUACUGGGCGUAAAGCGUGCGUAGUCGGUUAUUUAAGUCGGGCGUGAAAGCCCCGGGCUCAACCUGGGAACUGCGUCCGAUACUGGAUGGCUUGAAUCCGGGAGAGGGAUGCAGAAUUCCUGGUGUAGCGGUGAAAUGCGCAGAUAUCAGGAGGAACACCGGUGGCGAAGGCGGGUCUCUGGGCCGUAAACUGACGCUGAGGAGCGAAAGCUGGGGAGCAAACAGG